rnacentral:rRNA from 1 species
GGGUCAGUAGGUUGGUCGUGCCACCGGUACGUACUGGUCUCACUGAUUCCUCCUUCCUGAAGAACCGUAAUGCCAUUAAUUUGGUGUUGCGGGGAAACAGGACUGUUACUUUGAAAAAAUUAGAGUGUUUAAAGCAAGGUAACGCUUGAAUACAUGAGCAUGGAAUAAUGAAUUAGGACGAUCGAUCCUAUUUUGUUGGUUUCUAGGAUUGACGUC